GGUCAAUGAUGAACAGUAAAAGGUCUGAUUCCCACAAUCCUUUGCUGCCUCCGGCUCCCAGCGGCUUGCUCUCUGCUCCCAUCAUGCUCCAGUCAUGCAGUCAUGGGCUCAGCAGCUGCUGACACACAGGAUGUGACAUCAUUCAUGAUGUGACAUCACUGAGAGGUUGACAUGAGAACCUGCAGCCUCUCUGUGAUGCUGAUCCAACAUAACCAAUCAGAAUGGAGCAUCUGGAGGAGGAAGAAAGUAAAGAAUGGGAGCUGAUCUCAAGUUUUCAAGCUGAGACC
rnacentral:snoRNA from 1 species